rnacentral:rRNA from 1 species
CCUACGGGUGGCAGCAGUGAGGAAUAUUGGUCAAUGGGCGCGAGCCUGAACCAGCCAAGUCGCGAGAGGGAAGACGGUCCUAUGGGUUGUAAACCUCUUUUGUCGGGGAGCAAAAGACGCCACGCGUGGCGUUCCGAGAGUACCCGAAGAAAAAGCAUCGGCUAACUCCGUGCCCGCAGCCGCGGUAAUACGGAGGAUGCGAGCGUUAUCCGGAUUUAUUGGGUGUAAAGGGUGCGCAGGCGGAAGAUCAAGUCAGCGGGAAAAUUGAGAGGUUCAACCUCGUCGAGCCGUUGAAACUGGUUGUCUUGAGUGAGUGAGAGGUAUGCGGAAUGCGUGGUGUAGCGGUGAAAUGCAUAGAUAUCACGCAGAACUCCGAUUGCGAAGGCAGCAUACCGGCGCUCAACUGACGCUCAUGCACGAAAGUGUGGGUAUCGAACAGGAUUAGAUACCCCAGUAGUC